UGUCAAGCUUUGUUACUUACGAACUACAAAAGCGAUAAAAAUAAAUAAUUCUCAGUCCAUAUGCUGUACAUGUUCUUGUGGACGUUGCGAGUAAAACAAUGGAGACCUAAUUGUAGAUGUAACGCUCGUUUCCAAUAUUUAUUUUUCUGUAGUCUUAAUUUACAUCAAGUACCAGUGUUUCUUUGUUCCGAUUCGUUUCGAGAGCUCAGGGUCAUCCCAAUGUAUAAAAAUUGAUGGAACUAUAAAAAAGAAUCAGUACAAUUGUUUAACCACUCCUGGAAGAGAGAUCUUCAUUUUAGAAUAAUAACAAGUAUUAUUUUCUUAAAAUUUAUAAUGAUUUCAAAGUUGACAGGGAGUAUAAAGUAUAAUAAAUAUAUUACUAGGAAGAUCAAGGACAGUCUUUAGUAAGGUAUAGCAAACAAGUAACCGAGGCGUGGUCGGGCCUAUUGUAUAUAAAUCAGAGCACUCGCUAAACAGAUAUCACUUGUAAAAGCUCUUCCAAGCAACUCAAUAACCAUGCUCUUCAGACUGUUCGCUUUCCUCGCUCUGGUCGCCGUGGCUUUCGCCAGCCCCGAACCUAAGCCUGAUCCUCAAGUCGUGGCCUACGGCGCUGGAUUUGUACCAGCUACCUACCCUUACUAUGCCGGUUACGCCGCUGCCGCUCCCUACGCCGCCUUCCCUUAUGCCUACAACAGAUAUUUCUACCGCUAAGCUAACAUAAGGUCACGUUAAUUGGGUAUCUUAAAAAUUAUUGUAAAAAUUAUUUUAAUUUUGUACAAGAAAUUUAAAAUACCCAUGUUGUGUGACAUUUACCGACUUUACGCUAGAUCAAUGAUAUAGAUAUGCCUACUGUUUAAAUAAAAAUUUUAUGCAUAUUUUUUUGUAUUAUUUCAAUUAUAAGUAUACCUCAAAAUGAGUUCACAUUUCAAUCAAUAUCAGUGUUUUAUAUAAAACUAGCGGACUCGACACACAUUAUCAUGCUUGGAGUAGCAACUACAAAUUUGAUUGUUGACAUUUCGACAGCAGUUUUUUUAACCAUCUAUGUGCACAUUGAAAUGUACACUAGAAUUUGUCCCACAUUUUAGGGGUAUUUGUAUGACAAACAUACGAUAUAAGAUAACACUAAAA
rnacentral:misc_RNA from 1 species